rnacentral:rRNA from 1 species
CUACGGGUUGCUCCAGUGAGGAAUAUUGCACAAUGGGGGGAACCCUGAUGCAGCAACGCCGCGUGGAGGAUGACGCAUUUCGGUGUGUAAACUCCUUUUAUAUGUCAAGAAAAUGACGGUAGCAUAUGAAUAAGCACCGGCUAACUCCGUGCCAGCAGCCGCGGUAAUACGGAGGGUGCAAGCGUUACUCGGAAUCACUGGGCGUAAAGGACGCGUAGGCGGGUUGGAAAGUCAGGUGUGAAAUCCUACAGCGUAACGGUAGAACUGCACUUGAAACUUCUAAUCGAGAGUAUGGGAGGGGGAGAUGGAAUUAGUGGUGUAGGGGUAAAAUCCGUAGAUAUCACUAGGAAUACCUAAAGCGAAGGCGAUCUCCUGGAACAUUACUGACGCUAAGGCGUGAAAGCGUGGGGAGCAAACAGGAUUAGAUACCCGCGUAGUC